UAGCUACUCCCUCCGUCCGGAAAUACUUGUCAUCAAAAUGGAUAAAAGGGGAUGUAUCUAGACGUAUUUUAGUUUUAGAUACAUUUUUUAAUCCAUUUUGAUGACAAGUAUUUUCGGACGGAGGAAGUAUAUA
rnacentral:pre_miRNA from 1 species